AUCGACCGCGUGUGGCGGCCUUUUGUGCCGACCCUCGGCCCCAAUUUAUUUAUCAAUUUACGUGCCUAUUCUAUCACCCCCGGUUCCCUCUUUUGAGGUUCUUCCGGGGUUUUUUACGGGAAUAUCCUCAGCACGUUUCUUACUUCUUCACGCAAAAGCUUGGAGGGUACCUCACCGGGGGGAUUAUUCUCUCUCAAGUGAACACCUCCAAAACUGCAUAAACAACCUUGUGUCGACAUAUCGCUUACUUUACAUUUUUCGCGUUUAGUAUGGUAACUAACCAUAAAUUACAAAUUGGGGUUAAAUCAACACUUGUGUAUAUCCGAAUGAUAAAGCCUGCUAAUCAGAUAAAGCUGCUAAUGGACUCUAUCCGAUAAUAGAUUGAUAUCCAAAUUUAAAUCCUGCAAAUUGGAAAGACCUGCAAUGGAAGUCACAUCGGUAAUACCAUUAUGUUAACAUGCACAUUU
rnacentral:rRNA from 1 species